ensembl:lncRNA
AAAUACUGAUAUGAAAAGUCACUUCAGCUUGAGUUUUUUCUCUCCGUCCGCGUGCUCACAAACACGCAAAGUAGCAGCUGUAGUAUCAACUCAACAAACAUGUCCGCCCCAGGUGCAGAUGGCUCUGGUUCUGCAGGGAUGUCUGGGAGUAACCGCAGACUGCAGCAGACACAGGCACAGGUGGAUGAGGUAAGAGGACACACCUGACACCGUUUCCCAGUGUUCUUCAUGGUUGGCCAUAAACAGUCGACUUGAUUUCUGUCUGUCAGUGUGAUGCGAACAGUUACAUAAUCCCAGGACAACUCAUGACAGUAACGAUGUACAAUGACUAAUGUUCUCAUUGAAUAUUUAAAUGAGCUUUUAGACUAAAAAAGUCUAAUAUUAGUUAAGCUAGUAGUUUUAGCAGGUAUCGAAACUGGAAUCAAGGGUUGUGAUUUUUUGCUAUUAUCUAAAAUAUUGGUGUCAUAACUGCCUGUUUUUUUUUCUGUGGCUGGUAAAAAAUAUUUCUGGCCGGUAAAUUUCCUUGAGUCACCAGCCAUUGGCAGGUCUGGCAAAAAGUUAGUUUUAUGCCCUGUAUACAUGUAUCUCAUUUCAAAAUUUGAUUUAAGGUAAAUGAUAUGCCAUUUAAAUGUUAUAGAAGGUGCUACUUUCUCUUUCACUCUCUAUCUCUCUUUCUUUCUGUGUGACUCCUCCCUAAAGUGAGCGGCAUAAGCCGUCAGCAGUUUUUACACAUCUCUUCUGCAGCUCACCACAUGAUUUCUGUUCAAGGAAUUUUACACCAGGACAUAUGCAGGUCUCUGCGCACUUUAUGCCCAUUGACCUCUCCCGUCAGACGUCUUCUUUCAGUCUGGCGCAAGCUCAUAGGCUGCCGGUCGGUUAUGUAACACCCCGUCAUUAUGGUUAUGCAAGUGAAACAUGGAUCUGCACACGCUGGCUCCCCUUCCACACUAAUCUCUCUUAAAGGGGCGGAGCUACAUCACCCUGCAACAGCGUUUGUGGAGCACUAGAGCAUAUAUGAGGAGGCUGAGAUGUUUGUGUGCCGUUGCCAUUGACUUUAUGCAAUUCUAUUAUUACAGUACAACGGGAUUUUUUCGUGCUUUCCGUUACUUAAAACAUCUGCUGAAGAUGUAAGGAUUGUUCAGAUCGAAUAUAAGCAACAGGAUAUUAUGUCAUUCUCUAGGGCUUCUAUAUUUGAUAAAGAAUAAAACAUUAAUAGAUAAUAAACUCAAAACAUACCUUUUACUCCAUUUUGAGUAGAUCGAAGUGUAACCACACAUUUAGUCUCAAAUAAUGCAUUAAAUUGUUUAUCCCAGUAGGAAAACAGAUUGAUUCUCAUGAAGUCAUGAGUUUAUAUAUUGACUCUUCAAACACAGUCAUACUGUUGAAGUGUAUUUUAAUGUGUGUCGUGGACAUGCAAAACUUUAUCAGUUGUCAGUUUCCUUAUUCUGUUUUAAUCUUUCUUUGUAUAGAUUGUUGAUGAGUGGUUUUAAGGGGGAGUGAUGUUCUCAUUCUAAUGAGAAAACAAAAAUAGAAAAAUGCACUGCAGACAAGAUGAAUCAUCAAUGUUCAUGGUUUGUUUUCCAGAAAGAAAAUUUUAAAUGCAGAAGAAGUUAUUUUUGUCACCUUUUAGGA